CUACGGGGGGCAGCAGUGAGGAAUAUUGCACAAUGGGGGAAACCCUGAUGCAGCAAUGCCGCGUGGAGGAUGACGCAUUUCGGUGUGUAAACUCCUUUUAUCAGAGAAGAAAAUGACGGUAUCUGAUGAAUAAGCUCCGGCUAACUCCGUGCCAGCAGCCGCGGUAAUACGGAGGGAGCAAGCGUUAUUCGGAAUCACUGGGCGUAAAGGACGCGUAGGCGGGUUUUUAAGUCAGGUGUGAAAUCCUAUGGCUCAACCAUAGAACUGCACUUGAAACUGGGGACCUAGAGUAUGGAAGGGGCAGGUGGAAUUAGUGGUGUAGGGGUAAAAUCCGUAGAUAUCACUAGGAAUACCGAAAGCGAAGGCGACCUGCUGGGACAUUACUGACGCUGAGGUGCGAAAGCGUGGGGAGCAAACAGGAUUAGAUACCCCAGUAGUC
rnacentral:rRNA from 1 species